rnacentral:rRNA from 1 species
AAUAGAUACCCCGGUAGUCCACGCCGUAAACGAUGAGUGCUAAGUGUUAGGGGGUUUCCGCCCCUUAGUGCUGCAGCUAACGCAUUAAGCACUCCGCCUGGGGAGUACGGUCGCAAGACUGAAACUCAAAGGAAUUGACGGGGGCCCGCACAAGCGGUGGAGCAUGUGGUUUAAUUCGAAGCAACGCGAAGAACCUUACCAGGUCUUGACAUCCCGCUGACCGCUAUGGAGACAUGGCUUUCCCUUCGGGGACAGCGGUGACAGGUGGUGCAUGGUUGUCGUCAGCUCGUGUCGUGAGAUGUUGGGUUAAGUCCCGCAACGAGCGCAACCCUUGUCCUUAGUUGCCAUCAUUCAGUUGGGCACUCUAAGGAGACUGCCGUACAAAUACGGAGGAAGGUGGGAAUGACGUCAAAUCAUCAUGCCCCUUAUGACCUGGGCUACACACGUGCUACAAUGGACGGUACAAACGGUUGCGAAGUCGCGAGACGGAGCCAAUCCGAGAAAGCCGUUCUCAGUUCGGAUUGCAGGCUGCAAC